rnacentral:rRNA from 1 species
AUACGUAGGUGACAAGCGUUAUCCGGAUUUACUGGGCGUAAAGGGCGUGUAGGCGGUCUUGCAAGUCAGAAGUGAAAUUCCUGAGCUCAACUCGGGCGCUGCUUCUGAAACUGCAGGACUUGAGUGCUGGAGGGGAUAGCGGAAUUUCUAGUGGAGCGGUAAACUGCGCAGAUAUCAGGAAGAACACCGGUGGCGAAGGCGGCUAUCUGGACAGUAACUGACGCUGAGGCGCGAAAGCGUGGGGAGCAAACAGGAUUAGAUCCCCUGGUAGUCCACGCCGUAAACGAUGAAUACUAGGUGUAGGGGGUAUCGACUCCCUCUGUGCCGCAGUUAACACAAUAAGUAUUCCGCCUGGGGAGUACGGCCGCAAGGUUGAAACUCAAAUGAAUUGGCGGGG